AGAGACAGGAUCUUACUUCGUUGCCCAGCCUGGUCUCCAAUACCUGCGCUCAAGUGAUCCUUCUUCCUUGGCCUCCCAAAGUGCUGGGAUUUCAGGCAGGAGCCACUGCGCCCGGCCAGUCCAGGAGUGUUUGGCUCCUUAAUGUUCUCAUGUGUAAACAUUCAGGAAGAAAAACCAAACCAAACCAAAACAAAUAAACAUUCAGGAAGCACAGGUUUCAGACUCUACUUGCUGGGGAGCAAGACUGAUCAGAAACAAGUGCUUACUGGCAAGAGAUUUUUCACAGAGAAUGACGAGCUCUGCAAGGGAUGUGAUGAUAAGGAUGGCAGAUGGGUGGAUGAAGUUCAGAUGCCCAUAUGGGAAAAUGGGGGCAUCAGAUUAAAGGAAGAGGGAGGCUAACCUCAGGGGACUCUACUUGUAUAUAUGAAGAAACACUUAAGGAGACCUGGACUUUUUUUUUUUUUUAAAGACAAGGUCUUUUAGCCUCACAAUAGUGGGAGACUUCAACCCCCCGCCACUGACAGCAUUAGACAGAUCAUCAAGGCAGAAAAUUAACAAAGAAAUUCUGGACUUAAACUCAGCACUUGACCAAUUGGACCUAUUAGACAUCUGCAGAAAACUCCACCCAUCAGCCAGCCACAGAAUAUACAUUCUUCUCAUUCGCACAUGGAACAUACUCCAAGAUCAACCGCAUGCUUGGCCGAAGAGCAAGUCUCAAUACAUUCAAAAAAAUCAAAAUCAUACCAGCCAAACUCUUGGACCACAGUAGAAUAAAGACAGAAAAUACUAAGAAGAUUUUGACCAGGUGCGCUGGCUCACAUGUGUAAUCCUAGCACUUUGAGAGGUGAUGGUGGACAGAUCACUUAAUGUCUGGAGUUCGAGACCAGUCUUACCAACAUGGUGAAACCUUGUCUCAACUAAGAAUACCAAAAAAAUAUAAAUUAAAAAAAAUUAGCUAAGUGUGGUGGUGGGCACCUGUAAUCCCAGCUACUCGGUAGGCUGAGGCAGGAGAAUCACCUGAACCUGGGAGGCAGAGGUUGCAGUGAGCCGAGUUCAUACCACUGCACUCCAGCCUGGGCGACAGAGCAAGACUCUGGUAAAUAUGAUUCAACACAUAAACAGAAUUACAGGCAAAAAUCCUCAUCCCAAUAGGUGCAGAAAAUGCUUUCAAUAAAACCCAACAUCCUUUCAUGAUAAAAACCCUCAAGAAACUAGGCAUCGAAGGAACAUACGUCAAAACAAUAAGAGCCAUCUAGGAUAAACGCACAGCCAACAUCGUCCUGAACUGGCAAACACUAGAGCAUUCCCCUUGGAACAAGAAAAGCAAUCCCAGCUGGGCACAAUGGCUCACACCUGUAAUCCCAGCACUCUGGGAGGCUGAGGCGGGUGGAUCACCUGAGAUCAAGAGUUCAAGACCAGCCUGGCCAACAUGGUGAAACCCCAUCUCUACUAAAAACACAAAAAAUUAGCUGGGCGUGGUGCUAGAUACCUGUAAGUCCAUCUACCCAGGAGGCAGGAGAAUCACUUGGACCCAGGAGGAAGAGGUUGCAGUGAACCGAGAUUGUGCCACUGCAUUCCAGCCGGGGCAAUAAGAGCAAAGCUGUUUCAAAAAAAAAAAAAAAAGAAGAAAGAAAGAAAGAAAAGCAAUCCUGUUAUUGGGUGUAUAUCCAAAAGAAAACAAAUUGUUCUACCAAAAUGUCAUGGGCACGUGUAUGUUCAUCACAACACUAUUCACAAUAGCAAAGACAUGGACUCAACCUAGGUGCCCAUCAGUGAUGAAUUAAAGAAAUCGUGGUACAUAUACACUGUGGAAUACUACAUAAUCAUAAAAAGAAUGAAAUCACGUCCUUUGCAGCAACAUAGAUACAGCUGGAGGCCAUUAUCCUAAGCAAAUUAACACAAGUGCAUGAAACUAUAAACAUUGGGAACUGAUAUGGUUUGGUGCUGUGUCCCCACACAAAUCUUAUCUCGAAUUGUAAUCCCCACUUGUCCAGGGUGAGAAGUGAUUGGAUUACGGGGGCAAUUUCUCCCAUGCCUUUCUCGUAAUAGUGAGUGAGUCUCGCGAGAGUGAGAUCUGAUGGGUUUAAAAGUGGAAUUGUUUCCUGAAAGCUUUCUCGCGCUUGCCGGCCGUAGUGUGAAGAUGUCUGCUUCUCCUUUUGCCUUCCGCCGUGACUGCGUGUCCUGAGGCCUCCCCAGCAAACAAUGCAGAACUACAGGGUCUUGUUCUGUCACUGAGACUGGAGUGCAAGAAUGUGAUCGAUCAUGGCUCACUACAGCUUCAACCUCCCUGACUCAAGCAAUCCUCCUGCCUCAGCCUUCUGAGUAGCUGGGACCACAGUUUCUUUCAAUAACUGGCUCACCAAGACAGAGGCUGCUGAGCAGGCAGACAGCUGCAGACCUAAGGAAAGCUAUGACCGUCUCAGCUGCAAGAAUCAGAGUGGCUUGGAGCACAGAGGAAGAAUCAGGUAAGAAAAGACGUAAAAGGCUACUCUCUUCAAAAUCAUUGUUUAAAAAAUUAGAAAUUGUUGACUAUUCAUGACUUGUAAGAAAGGCUGCACCGAAAUGUUUUUGUUUCUUUUGUUUAGUUUAAUUUUUAUAUUAUGAAGACAAGGUCUUGCUCCGUCACCCAGGCUGGAAUGCGUGGUGCGAUCAUGGCUCACUGCAACCUCGAACUCCUGGCCUCAAGUGAUCCUCCUGCCUCAGUAGCUAGGACUACAGGCCACCAUGCCUGGCUCAUUUUAAAAUAAUUUUUAGGGCCGGGGUCUUACUACAUUGCCCAGACUGGUCUCGAACUCCUGAGCUCAAGUGAUCUUUCCUGUCUCAGCCUUCCAAAGUGCUGGAAUUACAGGUGUGAGCCACCAGCCCCUGGCCAGUGUUUGCCUUUUUGCAUAUCUCUCUAUGUAAGUAUUCAAUCUCAAAUUAUGUUUUCUCUAUUGCAAAAAUAACCCAUACAAGCAUCCCUUCUUACAUAGUGAUUGAUCAAGUGUUUUCAAAAGAGUUCCACUUAUUCUAAAAAGUACUAUGAAACAGAAAAACAUACUUGUGUACUCAGAAGCACAGUCCGAGGCGGCAGAAUGACUGGCACAGAACCUACUUUCCACUCCUUCACCCAGUGCAGACAUUGUGAACUGAUCAUAGCACUCUUCUCUGCCAAUCUAAAGACUGUCUCUCUGGUCUCUCUAUCCCUUCUUAUUCUUCUAAAAGGCAUCAGAGCUGGCAUCCAGGAGGGCGUGUGUUGGGUGAGGGGAAAAAAAAAAAAAAAACCUCUGUGCAGGCGCAAAACUAAGACGCCAUCAAGUGGCGGAGCUUUCUAAUUAGAAAAGGCACAGUACUUAGAACCAAAGCAAGACAACAGGGCAGUAAAUGAAUGAAUGAAUGAGUCUAGUCUUCUGUAAAUACUUCCCUCCUAGAGAAGAGUUUUGAAUUUUAACAUGAGUUUUCUUUGCUUAAGCUCACGAGACCAGCUAAUGGAAGCAUUCAGGUGACAGUUGGUAGCAAAGGGCCUUUAGAAAUCCUCAGACUCUGCUGGGCGCAGUGGCUCACACCUGUCAUCCCAGCACUUUGGGAGGCCAAGGUGGGCAGAUCACUUGAGGUCAGGAGUUCAUGACCAGCCUGGCCAACCUGGUCUCUACAAAAAUACAAUAAUUAGCCAGGCAUGAUGGUAGGCGCCUAACAUCCAUCCCAGCUACUCAGGAGGCUGAGGGAGGACAAUCACUUGAACCGGGAGGCGGAGGUUGCAGUGAGCUGAGAUCGUGCCAUUGCACUCCAGCCUGGGCGACAGAGUGAGACUGUGUGUAAAAACAAAACAAAACAAAACAAAACAACAGAAACCUAGAUUCUUUUCCCAAUAUCACCUUUGCCAAAGGCCAACCCUUCUUGCUGUCCCAGGCCUCCCACCCACAGCCUGCCCAGGUUCCUCACUCUGCAGACUACAUGCAACAUGUUUUGGAUGCAAUCUAGAUACUAUUUCCUGAUCAGUCCGUGCCAGGCACUGGACAAAGAAAUCCAUGGACCUCAUUUAGAUACUCCUCAUAGCAACUUGCCCUGAGACAAGUGCCCUAUCCCCAUUUUCCAGGUGAACACACUGAGGCUCAGAAAGGGGAAGCAAUUUGGCCAAGGUCACUCAGUGUCUCACUCAGGAACAGGUAGGACUGAAACCUUCUCCUGGCCAUGCUCAGCCUACAGGCCCCACAUCGUUAGCCCCGUGCUGGGCUCCUCUUCGACACUAGGCCACCCUUCUCUUGCCAGAGGUGUCCAAGACAGGUCAGCUGUGCCCCAGGAAUGUCCCACCAAGGCUGGGCAUAAGCAGCCCAAAUGGACCAAGGGGCACCUGUCGGGAGGGAAAGGGGACAGUGCAGGGCCCCAGGGCUGAUCCUGGACCUGCACUAUCCUGGUGACUGUCCCAGGGUUCCACAGCCAGAGUUUGAAUCUGGGUGCUGCUAGCUGUGCAACAGUUUGCCACCCUCCCUGGCCUCCCUUUCCUGUGCCAGCUCCCUCCUCCAGGGGCAGCUGUGAUGAUGCGUUCAGUCACUCAGAUAAAGGCUCAGGGAUGGCACAGUGGGGAGCAGGGCAGUGGUCACCCUUGAUCUCUGUCUCUAACAUUGUCUCCCUGUGUGUGUGUGUGUGUGUUCCUGUACUACUAUCUCUCUGUCUGUCUUUCCCUCCCCCUCUCUUCCUUUUCCUUUCCCCCAGGAGUAAAGGGAGGACACAGGACACAGCCAAUGUCAGCUCUGUGAGGCCCCAGCUUGCAGAUGUAGGGCAGACCCUGGCCUGGCUGCCUGCCAGCCCACCUCCUGGCCAGGCUCCUAUCUCCCCUACUCACUGCCCUGAAUAGCCUCCACUCAGGUGUGUCCCAAGCAACUGGGAGCCCUGGACCAUGCCUGCUGAGGACAAGGACACUGGGUCCUCAGCAGUGGGAUCCUGAGAGAGCAUGGAGGGGGGUCAUCUACCUUAGGAGCCACCCCUAAAGCCUCCUAGGGGCUGGGGCCCCAGUGAGAGGAGCUCCUGAAUCAGGCCCAACAUUUGUGGUUCCUCUGCCCCACCUUUCUCCCUGGAGGUGGAAACCUACAUGGAAACCUCCACCAGCACCCAGGAGCACUCCCCAGCUGCAGACAACAGCUCCUGAAACAUCAGGCAAUGUGUUUUGGAUGCAGUCUAGGUACUACUUCCUGAUCAGGCUGUGCCAGGCACAGUCUGAGCAUAGACAGCCCAAAUGGGCCAAGGGGUGCCUUUAUGUCAAGGGCUGCUGUUUUACACACCCCCCACAUACAUACCACACAAACACACAGACAUACAGACACAUAUACACAGACAUACAGAUACACACAGACACAGACUUCAUUUUUAGGGCAAAGGGUGACACUGCCAUGCAUACUUUUUGACACUAAUUUUUUUUUUUCAAACAGUGUAAAGGGAUUCACAAUGAAAACUAACACCCGAGGCCAAGGUGAGGGGAUCACUUGAGGUCAGGAGUUAGAGAUCAGACUGGCCAACAUGGUGAAACCCUCUUUCUACUGAAAACACAAAAAUUAGCCUGGUGCAGUAGCAUGCGCCUCUAGUCCCAGCUACUUGGAAGGCUGAAGCAGGAGAAUCUCUUGAACUCAGGAGACAGAGGUUGCUGUGAGCCAAGAUUGCACAACUGUAUUCCAGCCUGGGCAACAGGGCAAGACUUCAUCUCAAGAAGAACAAAAAAAACCCUAAAACCCUCAGUCCCUCAGUUAACCUUCCUGAAGGUAGUCAGUUUCUUGUGAAUCCUUCUAAAGAGUGAAUGCAUAAUUCAGAUAUUAAUAUUUAUGGAUAUAUAUUUCUGGAAUUCCCCCUAAAUGGCAGCAUCCUUUACUUACAGCUGUACUAACCUUCUUCACUUAACAGGUGAUCUUGGAAGCUAGUUCCAUAUCAAAACACUUAGAUCUCCCUCAUCUUUAUCUACAUACGAUUCAUACAUCAUAAAACUGACACUUUAAUGUGUACAAUUCAGUGGUUUUUAGUAUAUUCAGAGCUGUGCAACCAUCACCACUGCCUGAUUGCAGGACACUUUCAUCAUCCUAAAAAGAAAUCCCACACCCAUGAGCAGACACCCCCGCAUCCCUUGCCCUAGUCCCUGGCAACUGCUAAUCUGUCUUCUGUGUGUAUGGAUUUGCGCGGUGUGGGUGUCUCUUAUGAAUACAGUAUAUAGCCUUUUGUGUCUGGCUUCUUUCUCUUCACAUAACGUUUGCAAGCUCCUUCCAUGUUGCAGGUUUGUAUCAGUGCUUUGUUCCUUUAUUUAUGGCUAAUAUCUGUUGUAUACAUAUACCACAUUUGGUUUAGCCCCUCUUUCUUUUUAACAGCAAUGUAGUAUUCCACUGACAGGUGUAUUUAAAUUUUUUUUUUUCCGAGACAGAGUCUUACCCCAUCACCCAGGCUGGAGUGCAAUGGCACAACCUCAGCUCACUGCAACCUCCACCUCCAGGGUUCAAGGAGUUCUUCUGCUUCAGCCUCCCAAGUAGCUGGGAUUACAGGCACAUGCCACCACUCCUGGCUAAUUUUUUGUAUCUUUAGUAGAGACGGGAUUUCACCAUGCUGGCCAGGCUGGUCUCAAAAUCCUGACCUCAUGAUCCACUUGGACUCAAGCAAUCCUCCUGCCUCAGCCUCCCAAGGAGCUAGGACUAUAUAGGCACAUGCCGCCACGCCCAGCUAAUUUUUGUAUUUUUUUGUAGAGAUGAGGUCUGGCUAUGUUCCCCAGCCUGAUGUACCUUAAUUCACCAAUCUCCUGCAAUGGGCAUUUAGGUUGCUCCCAGUCUUUUGCUACUGCAGAUAGUGCUACCAUUGAUUUCCUUGUUUUCUUUGCAAAUAUACCAGUUAAGAAACUUCCUUGAUGUGGAAUUGCUGGGUCAAAAGGGUAUAUACUUUUUGGUUUUAUAUAUUUACCAACUGUGUUCCAAAGAGGGCACACAAGAAGGUGACACUUGCCCCAUGCCCUUGCCAACCCAUAUUAUCAAAAUUGUUAAGUCCUUACCAUCAGCUUUGCAUUGUGAUUUUCAUUUGAAUCUUUUUCUCUCUCUCUCUCUCUCUCUUUUUUAAGACAUGAUCUUGCUCAGGUGUGCACCAUGCCCAGUGAAUUUUUUAAUUUUUUUGUAGAGAUGGGGUCUUGCUAUGUUGUCCAGGCUGGUCUUGAACUCCUGAUCUUGAGUAAUCAUUCUGCCACAGCCUGCCAAAGUGCUAGGAUCAUAGGUGUGAGCCACCACACACGAGCACAUUGCUUUUCUCUUGAGUGAAGCCUUUUCAUUCUGAGUUAGACGUCUGUUCACAACUUUUUUUCGUUUAUCUAUUGAGUCAUUCAUCAAAUGUUAUUGAUUUGUAAGAGCUCUUUAUAUAUGGAGAAAAUUAGCCUUUUUAUCUGAUUUAGAUGUUGCAAAAUUUUCCACAAUCAUAUUACAGCAGACAUUUAAACAAAAUGGGGAUUAAGGCAUGAUCCCCCUCUUCCACAGUCAAAAAUGUGCACAUAACUUUUGAUUCCCCAAAAACCUUACCACUAAUAGCCUACUGCUGACCAGGGGCUUGGUCACAAAAACAGUCAAGUAACACCUAUUUUGCAUGUUAUAUGUAUUAUAUACUGUAUUCUCACAAUAAAGUAGGCUAGAGAAAAGAAAAUGUGGCUAGGUGUGGUGGCUCCUGCCUGUAAUCUUAGCAUUUUGGGGGGUUGAGGUGGGAGGAUCAUUUGAGUCCAGGAGUUCAAGACCAGCCUGGGCAACAUAGCAAGACCCCAUCUGUUAAAAAUGUGAAAAAAAUUUUUAACAAAAACAUUAUUAAGAAAAUCAUAAAGAAGACAAAAUAUAUUUGCUAUUUAUUAAGUGGAAGUGGAUCAUCAUAAAGGUCUUCAUCCUUGUCUUCAUGUUGAGCAGGCUGAGGAGGAGGAGGAGGAGGAAGAAGAAGAAUAGCUGGUCUUGCUGUCUCAGGGGUGACAGAGGUGGAAGAAAAUCCACAUAUAAAUGGACCCAGCAGUUUAAAUUCA